UAGGAGAGAGUACGGGCAGAAGGCUUAGUGAAGGACAGCCAUGGAGCUUUGGCUGCCUCAUGGUCAAAAGCUAGCCUGAAGAAUUCUCCCAUGGAAGGACAUCUGCAGAGAGGAUUGCAGGAAGCUUGAAUUAUCUCCUGGAGUUUGGGCCUGCCUUGAAACCCAGCCCGCCUGCCCCUGCUGCGUGCCAGCCUGGAAUGGAUUCUCUGCUGCAUUGCUUUUUUGUUCCUGAGAAGAAGAGAAUUCUUUUUUCACCCCUUUCCUGCUGCUGAGACAAUCACUGCCUGCCUGUGCCUGCUGUUUCUGUGCCAGCCACUAGCCCCUGCCAUUGUGGCCACUGGCCACCUGGUGAGCCACAUUUUCCAGGUUUUUGCCUCAGCCCCAAUGGCCACUGGCCACCUGGCCCCCAGAUUGUCCAGGCUUCUGCCCCAGACCCUCCCCCCGCCCCAAAAUCUGAAGACUGAAGGAGAAGAAGAUUGAAGAAGUGGACCAGACCACAGAAGUGGACAACUGGACACACAACGUGGGUGAAGCCCUAGACUGAAAGCCUGUCCUCCAGCCCUCUGUGUCACACCCUCGCUCUCAGAUAGCGAGGAGGAAGCUGACAGCCCUUCAGCAGAUGCAGGGGUGCCUGAGGGGCAGAGCCCGGCUGUCGGUUCCCAAGAGAUGGCUGAGGCAGGUCUGGCUGAUGUUUCAGAGCAGGCACAGCAGUCUGAGGCAUCAGAGACAGCGAUGGACGAACUGGAGGAUGAGCUGUGCAGGCAACCCCCACCGAUUCCACAGCAGAGGCGUGUCACAAGAUGGCGGGCACAGCUGGAAACCAUCAGGAGAAGUAAGCGCCUCUUGCAGAGGGCUGAUAAGCCUUGAAUCCCUGCCAGCUGAGAGUUAUCAGCUUGGACUAUAAAACACGUCUACAGCUUGCAGUUAGCCGCUGGAAGGCAACGUAUGUCAUCCCUGGUGUCGACAGCUUUCAGCCUGAGCCAGAGAGAGAGAAAUAUUUCCGAGCCGUGUUUCGCUUCUGCAACCCAGUUUGGUCUUUUGGUGAACUAUCAUCCUAGACUUCCCUACCGGGUGGCCAGAUUGCUGACACUCUGUGCCCAUAUAUAUCAGUAUUAAUAUUCUCUGCCCAGCAGCCUACAGGCUCAGAGUGGGCAGGAAGGCACAGACUCUAGCCUCCCCCCUUGCGCCCAUUUACCCUCCACCCCCAACUGCAGCAUUCUGAGGCCAUGGCAAAAAUUAACCCUAAACCCACUAACCCUUUCGCAGAGCACACACACACAGGUAUACUAUGCUUCCCCCCUACAUAAUCUCAAGUCUAGCAGUGUAUAUAUAUGGUUUGUUGUUGUGUCUGUAUUUUGGGGACCUCAUGGAUGGACACAGGACAGGGUCUCUCUCUCUCUCUCUCUCUCUCUCUCUCUCUCUCUCUCUCUCGACUUCUUUGCAAUGAAGAUUGGGUCAUAUUGUGACUUCUAGCAUCAUCAUCAUUUUUAUUCAAACUAGAUUGCUUGCACCUACAAUAGAUUGUGCUGGUUUCACAGGCUCCAAUCUGUUGCAGAAAUGUCCACCAAAAAAAAAAAGGGCCCAAAAAUUGUGUGCUAUUGUUUGUCAUUGAAAAUGAAUCCACUCUUAUUUGCUACCAGAGAAUCGACACUCAGAACACCUCAGAAACAAAUCGAAUCUGGGGUGAUUCAGGGGGUUCAGAUUUGGACCCAAAACAAAUCGGGUGUGUUUCAAUUCAGGUACAAACUGAAACGAAAAAAUCAAUUUGUGCACAUCCCUAAUGCUUGACGGGUGAGCUCUGACUAGCAUUGACACCAUGGGAGAUAAGACUGCUUAUUGGCAUCAAAAUGCCACUUGAUAGCUGUGCUAUCAAAGUAGAUAAUAUGACUGGCGAGGUGUGAAACCUGCAGAAUGAAUUCUAUUCAGAAUAUAAGUUGCUGAACCUCUUGCAGCAGAUUUCUAUAGAAAAUCUGUCUACCUAUUUGAAUUUCACUUGACUCUAUUAUGUGUCAUUCUUUCAGUGUCUCUCUGGUCUAAGGACCGUAAUAAACUUACUAC